AAAAGGAGCUAAAAUUCCAAUCCCCACCUUUACUCACUCCUUAGUCUACUAAAACGAUGACCACAAAGUCCCGGGCUGCCCUGGCCUGCGUCCCUCACUGUAUGGUUCUGUUCCACUAUUAGAAGACUGGGCUCUGGGCUGGAGAAACGGCUCAGUGGUUAAGAGCACUUGCUACUUUUGCAGAGGACUAAAUUCCCUUAACCCACAUGGUACUUAACAACCAGCUGUAACUCCAGCUCCAGAGGACCCAGUGCCCUCUUCUGGCCUCCUCUGGCACCCACACAUACACAUAAUAAAAAUAAAUAAAAUUGAAUUCUGACCAAUAAUCAUCUCGCCAAUUUGAAUAUUUUUCUUUUGGAAAUCAAUAGUCCUGCACUCGUAGCAAAUCUCUUAGCUUUACAAAUGUGUAUUUUUUUUUCCACAAUAGUUUUCCUUAAACAGCUUCAGGUGUACCAUACUAACGUAAUUAGAUAUGGAAUUAAGAGCAAAAUAGAGAGGGGAAGAUAAAUAUGCAAAAAUAACUAAUGUUCUUUUCUGAGUUAGCUAAUUAUGAAAUAAAUAUAAAAUCCGAUGAAU
rnacentral:lncRNA from 1 species